UACGUAGGGUGCAAGCGUUGUCCGGAAUUAUUGGGCGUAAAGAGCUCGUAGGCGGUUUGUUGCGUCGGCUGUGAAAUCCCGAGGCUCAACCUCGGGUCUGCAGUCGAUACGAGCAAACUAGAGUGUUGCAGGGGAGACUGGAAUUCCUGGUGUAGCGGUGAAAUGCGCAGAUAUCAGGAGGAACACCGAUGGCGAAGGCAGGUCUCUGGGCCGAUACUGACGCUGAUGCGCGAAAGCGUGGGGAGCGAUCCGG
rnacentral:rRNA from 1 species